GAUGAACGCUGGCGGCGUGCCUAAUACAUGCAAGUCGAGCGAACAGACGAGGAGCUUGCUCCUCUGACGUUAGCGGCGGACGGGUGAGUAACACGUGGAUAACCUACCUAUAAGACUGGGAUAACUUCGGGAAACCGGAGCUAAUACCGGAUAAUAUAUUGAACCGCAUGGUUCAAUAGUGAAAGACGGUUUUGCUGUCACUUAUAGAUGGAUCCGCGCCGCAUUAGCUAGUUGGUAAGGUAACGGCUUACCAAGGCAACGAUGCGUAGCCGACCUGAGAGGGGGAUCGGCCACACUGGAACUGAGACACGGUCCAGACUCCUACGGGAGGCAGCAGUAGGGAAUCUUCCGCAAUGGGCGAAAGCCUGACGGAGCAACGCCGCGUGAGUGAUGAAGGUCUUCGGAUCGUAAAACUCUGUUAUUAGGGAAGAACAAAUGUGUAAGUAACUAUGCACGUCUUGACGGUACCGAAGCAGAAAGCCACGGCUAACUACGU
rnacentral:rRNA from 1 species